UGGGGGAUAUUGCACAAUGGGGGGAACCCUGAUGCAGCGACGCCGCGUGAGUGAAGAAGUAUUUCGGUAUGUAAAGCUCUAUCAGCAGGGAAGAAGAAAGACGGUACCUGAGUAAGAAGCCCCGGCUAACUACGUGCCAGCAGCCGCGGUAAUACGUAGGGGGCAAGCGUUAUCCGGAUUUACUGGGUGUAAAGGGAGCGUAGACGGUAUGGCAAGUCUGAAGUGAAAGCCCCGGGCUCAACCUGGGAAUUGCUUUGGAAACUGUUAAACUAGAGUGCUGGAGAGGCAGGCGGAAUUCCUAGU
rnacentral:rRNA from 1 species